UGGGGAAUAUUGGACAAUGGGGGCAACCCUGAUCCAGCAAUGCCGCGUGUGUGAAGAAGGUCUUCGGAUUGUAAAGCACUUUCGACGGGGACGAUGAUGACGGUACCCGUAGAAGAAGCCCCGGCUAACUUCGUGCCAGCAGCCGCGGUAAUACGAAGGAGGCUAGCGUUGCUCGGAAUGACUGGGCGUAAAGGGCGUGUAGGCGGUUUACACAGUCAGAUGUGAAAUCCCCGGGCUUAACCUGGGAGCUGCAUUUGAUACGUGUAGACUAGAGUGUGAGAGAGGGUUGUGGAAUUCCCAGUGUAGAGGUGAAAUUCGUAGAUAUUGGGAAGAACACCGGUGGCGAAGGCGGCAACCUGGCUCAUGACUGACGCUGAGGCGCGAAAGCGUGGGGAGCAAACAGGAUUAGAUACCCUGGUAGUCCACGCUGUAAACGAUGUGUGCUAGAUGUUGGGUAACUUUGUUAUUCAGUGUCGCAGUUAACGCGUUAAGCACACCGCCUGGGGAGUACGGCCGCAAGGUUGAAAC
rnacentral:rRNA from 1 species